rnacentral:rRNA from 1 species
GGCGUGUGACUGCGUACCUUUUGUAUAAUGGGUCAGCGACUUAUAUUCUGUAGCAAGGUUAACCGAAUAGGGGAGCCGAAGGGAAACCGAGUCUUAACUGGGCGUUAAGUUGCAGGGUAUAGACCCGAAACCCGGUGAUCUAGCCAUGGGCAGGUUGAAGGUUGGGUAACACUAACUGGAGGACCGAACCGACUAAUGUUGAAAAAUUAGCGGAUGACUUGUGGCUGGGGGUGAAAGGCCAAUCAAACCGGGAGAUAGCUGGUUCUCCCCGAAAGCUAUUUAGGUAGCGCCUCGUGAAUUCAUCUCCGGGGGUAGAGCACUGUUUCGGCAAGGGGGUCAUCCCGACUUACCAACCCGAUGCAAACUGCGAAUACCGGAGAAUGUUAUCACGGGAGACACACGGCGGGUGCUAACGUCCGUCGUGAAGAGGGAAACAACCCAGACCGCCAGCUAAGGUCCCAAAGUCAUGGUUAAGUGGGAAACGAUGUGGGAAGGCCCAGACAGCCAGGAUGUUGGCUUAGAAGCAGCCAUCAUUUAAAGAAAGCGUAAUAGCUCACUGGUCGAGUCGGCCUGCGCGGAAGAUGUAACGGGGCUAAACCAUGCACCGAAGCUGCGGCAGCGACGCUGAUGCGUUGUUGGGUAGGGGAGCGUUCUGUAAGCCUGCGAAGGUGUGCUGUGAGGCAUGCUGGAGGUAUCAGAAGUGCGAAUGCUGACAUAAGUAACGAUAAAGCGGGUGAAAAGCCCGCUCGCCGGAAGACCAAGGGUUCCUGUCCAACGUUAAUCGGGGCAGGGUGAGUCGACCCCUAAGGCGAGGCCGAAAGGCGUAGUCGAUGGGAAACAGGUUAAUAUUCCUGUACUUGGUGUUACUGCGAAGGGGGGACGGAGAAGGCUAUGUUGGCCGGGCGACGGUUGUCCCGGUUUAAGCGUGUAGGCUGGUUUUCCAGGCAAAUCCGGAAAAUCAAGGCUGAGGCGUGAUGACGAGGCACUACGGUGCUGAAGCAACAAAUGCCCUGCUUCCAGGAAAAGCCUCUAAGCAUCAGGUAACAUCAAAUCGUACCCCAAACCGACACAGGUGGUCAGGUAGAGAAUACCAAGGCGCUUGAGAGAACUCGGGUGAAGGAACUAGGCAAAAUGGUGCCGUAACUUCGGGAGAAGGCACGCUGAUAUGUAGGUGAGGUCCCUCGCGGAUGGAGCUGAAAUCAGUCGAAGAUACCAGCUGGCUGCAACUGUUUAUUAAAAACACAGCACUGUGCAAACACGAAAGUGGACGUAUACGGUGUGACGCCUGCCCGGUGCCGGAAGGUUAAUUGAUGGGGUCAGCGCAAGCGAAGCUCUUGAUCGAAGCCCCGGUAAACGGCGGCCGUAACUAUAACGGUCCUAAGGUAGCGAAAUUCCUUGUCGGGUAAGUUCCGACCUGCACGAAUGGCGUAAUGAUGGCCAGGCUGUCUCCACCCGAGACUCAGUGAAAUUGAACUCGCUGUGAAGAUGCAGUGUACCCGCGGCAAGACGGAAAGACCCCGUGAACCUUUACUAUAGCUUGACACUGAACAUUGAGCCUUGAUGUGUAGGAUAGGUGGGAGGCUUUGAAGUGUGGACGCCAGUCUGCAUGGAGCCGACCUUGAAAUACCACCCUUUAAUGUUUGAUGUUCUAACGUUGACCCGUAAUCCGGGUUGCGGACAGUGUCUGGUGGGUAGUUUGACUGGGGCGGUCUCCUCCUAAAGAGUAACGGAGGAGCACGAAGGUUGGCUAAUCCUGGUCGGACAUCAGGAGGUUAGUGCAAUGGCAUAAGCCAGCUUGACUGCGAGCGUGACGGCGCGAGCAGGUGCGAAAGCAGGUCAUAGUGAUCCGGUGGUUCUGAAUGGAAGGGCCAUCGCUCAACGGAUAAAAGGUACUCCGGGGAUAACAGGCUGAUACCGCCCAAGAGUUCAUAUCGACGGCGGUGUUUGGCACCUCGAUGUCGGCUCAUCACAUCCUGGGGCUGAAGUAGGUCCCAAGGGUAUGGCUGUUCGCCAUUUAAAGUGGUACGCGAGCUGGGUUUAGAACGUCGUGAGACAGUUCGGUCCCUAUCUGCCGUGGGCGCUGGAGAACUGAGGGGGGCUGCUCCUAGUACGAGAGGACCGGAGUGGACGCAUCACUGGUGUUCGGGUUGUCAUGCCAAUGGCACUGCCCGGUAGCUAAAUGCGGAAGAGAUAAGUGCUGAAAGCAUCUAAGCACGAAACUUGCCCCGAGAUGAGUUCUCCCUGACCCUUUAAGGGUCCUGAAGGAACGUUGAAGACGACGACGUUGAUAGGCCGGGUGUGUAAGCGCAGCGAUGCGUUGAGCUAACCGGUACUAAUGAACCGUGAGGCUUAACCUUACAACGCCGAAGCUGUU